rnacentral:SRP_RNA from 1 species
GCAUGAAACAGUAGUGUAAAAUUUGGACACAGGCUGAGGCAGGAGGAUCACUUGAGCCCAGGAGUUCUGGGCUGUAGUGUGCUAUGCCGAUUGGGUGUCCCCAUUAAGUUCAGCAUCAAUAUGGUGACCUCCCGGGAGCAGGGAGCCACCAGGUUGCCUAAGGGGGGGUGAACCGACCCAGGUCGGAGAUGGAACAGGUCAAAACUCCCGUGCUGAUCAGGGGAGAAGGCAAUUCUAACAAUUUAGGUGAAUAGUAGGCAAACUAGAUAAUUCAUGAGAAUGCCACAUGUUUUU